rnacentral:rRNA from 1 species
CCUACGGGGGGCAGCAGUGAGGAAUAUUGGUCAAUGGGCGCGAGCCUGAACCAGCCAAGUCGCGUGAGGGAGGACGGCCCUACGGGUUGUAAACCUCUUUUGCCGGGGAGCAACGGGCGCCACGUGUGGCGUCACUGAGAGUACCCGGAGAAAACGCAUCGGCUAACUCCGUGCCAGCAGCCGCGGUAAUACGGAGGAUGCGAGCGUUAUCCGGAUUUAUUGGGUUUAAGGGGUGCGUAGGCGGAUUGUUAUGUCAGGGGUAAAAUUGGGGGGCUACACCCCUUCCCGCCAUUGAAACUGGGGUUCUUGAGUGGGAGAGAGGUAUGCGGAAUGCGUGGUGUAGCGGUGAAAUGCAUAGAUAUCACGCAGAACCCCGAUUGCGAAGGCAGCAUGCCGGCUUCCGACUGACGCUGAGGCACGAAAGCGUGGGUAUCGAACAGGAUUAGAUACCCGGGUAGUC